UUUCACACUUCAUCCAGUUCAUAUUUAUUUGUUUUGGGUAUUCCAGAUCUUCUGUGUAUUUUGUGAAGAUGUCUUGCUGUGGUGGAAUUUGUGGGUGUGGAGGCAACUGCAAUGGCUGUGCAGGGUGCAAGGCCUUCGCAGAGAAGGCUGUAGAGGGCUCAACUGCUUCCGAUAUGGUGUGUAAUGAGGAAAUGAGUGUGGCAGGGGAGAGUGAAUGCAAGUGUGGAGGCACCUGCACUGCCAAUCCUUGCAACUGCAAAUGAUUUAUCAAUAUUGUCAUUAAUAAAUUGUUAUUAUUUUCUAUUUAAGUGUGUAUUAUCAGCCUUGGUAUGUUAUACCAAGGUUUGAAUAUUAUAAUGUGAGAGAAAGUCAUGCGUGAUGCCACCGCAUGACUGUGUUAUCAAUAUAUAGCUAGCUUUUAAUC